CCGCACGAUAAUUCCUCCGGAGAAUCUUAGGCGAACAAGGAUAGAGAACGGGCUUGCCCGCUCUCCUGCGUCCCAAUGUGCCAAGAGGGAAAACAACCCUCAAGGCACUAAAGUAUAUCAAAGUUUAAAAUUUCUGGAGAUAAAUCCUUUGCAGACGACUUAAAUAAAGAACGGGGUAUUGUACGUUGUAGAGUAGCCUUGUUGCUACGAUCUUCUGAGGUUAAGCCUUUGUUCUACGAUUUGU
rnacentral:ncRNA from 1 species